UUUCACAUUUGUUAGUUUCUCAGAAUGGAACUAACUCAAGCCCUCCAUUCCACAGCCCGGCUCACUGCCCUCCUCCCGGAGGGCCAGUGAGUUGAUGGGUC
ensembl:misc_RNA Gm55107 predicted gene, 55107